rnacentral:rRNA from 1 species
GUACCUGAAACCGACACAGGUAGGUUGGUAGAGAAUACCAAGGGGCGCGAGAGAACUCUCUCUAAGGAACUCGGCAAACUGGCCCCGUAACUUCGGAAGAAGGGGCGCCAAUAGUAAAAUAAUGGCCGCAGUUACCAGGCUCUGGCGACUGUUUAUCAAAAACACAGGUCUCCGCAAAGUCGAAAGACAAUAUAUGGGGGCUGACGCCUGCCCAGUGCCGGAAGGUUAAGGAAGUUGGUUAUUCUUUUAGUAGAAAAAGCUGACGACCGAAGCCCCGGUGAACGGCGGUCGUAACAAUAACGAUCCUAAGGUAGCGAAAUUCAUUGUCGAGUAAGUUUCGACCUGCACGAAAGGCGUAACGAUCAGAGUACUGUCUCAGAGAGAGGCUCGGUGAAAUAGACUUGUCCGUGAAGAUGCGGACUACCUACACCUGGACAGAAAGACCCUAUGAAGCUUGACUGUAUCCUGGAAUUGGGUUCGGGCUUUUCUUGCGCAGCCUAGGUGGGAGGCUAUGAAGGUUCCCUUCCGGGGGAAUCUGAGCCAUCAUUGAGAGACCACUCUGGAAGAGCUAGAAUCCUAAUGGUGAUCUUUGAAUCAAGACGCUUGACAGUUUCAGGUGGGCAGUUUGUCUGGGGCGGACACCUCAUAAAGGGUAACUGAGGUGUGCAAAGGUUCCCUCAGUCUGGACGGAAAUCAGACCUUGAGUGUAAAGGCAAAAGGGAGCUUGACUGCAAGACCUACAAGUCGAGCAGGGGCGAAAGCCGGCCUUAGUGAUCCGACGGUUCCGUGUGGAAGGGCCGUCGCUCAACGGAUAAAAGUUACUCUAGGAUAACAGGCUUAUCUUCCCCAAGAGUCCACAUCGACGGGAAGGUUUGGCACCUCGAUGUCGGCUCAUCACAUCCUGGAGCGGUAGUACGUUCCAAGGGUUGGGCUGUUCGCCCAUUAAAGUGGUACAUGAGCUGGGUUCAAAACGUUGUGAAACAGUUUGGUCCAUAUCCGGUGUAGGCGUAGGAAUAUUGAAGGGAUCCAAAGAUAGUACGAGAGGAUUUUUUUGGACAAACUUCUGGUGUACCAGUUCUCACUCCAGUGGGAGACGCUGGGUAGCUACGUUUGGAGUCGAUAACUGCUGAAAGCAUAUAAGUAGGAAGCGUACCCUAAGAUGAGUAUUCCCCAUUAGGUCGCGGGUAGAGAAUCCGUUUGAUAGGUGUUAGGUGCAAGGUUAGUAAUAAUUUUAGCCAAGACAUACUAAAGACC